ensembl:snRNA Gm24392 predicted gene, 24392
GUGAAAAACUUACAUAUGCUAGCAUUGAAUCAAUACAAAGAUGAUUAGCAUGCCCUCUGUACAAGGAUAGCAUACAAAUAAAUGCAUGAUGUUUCCAUACUUU